rnacentral:tRNA from 2 species
UGCUAUGGCUCAGUAGGUAGAGCGUCGCCUUGGUAAGGCGGAGGUCACCAGUUCGAAUCUGGUUAGC